UGAUUUCAUGAAAAUACUCUCAUUAUUUAAGGGCCACCAAAUUAAGCUUAAGGGCUUUUUUGCCCUUCCCCAAAUCCCAAAAAAUAAACCCAAAUAAAUUUGAUCUCUCUCCCGUCAGAAAUCCCUUUAACUCUUUCAUCUUCUCAUUCUAUUCUUAAUCAGCUGGCAGAGAUGAAUUCCUUGAAGUCUUAAGCUUCAUUUUCGACUUCUAAUAUCAAUUUUGUAAGCCCAAUCUAAAUCUCGAAGAAUUUCUAUAGUCCCCCAAAUUUUCCCUUUUCUUUUCAACUUAAUGUCGAUUUUUUUUAUAGAUCUUACUGCAAGUUCAUCCAUGAUUCAGGAUUUUUGAUAUUAUACAAGUAAAAUUGAUGGGAAACAUAGAGACAUCGACACUGGUGGUGGUACCACAACGUUCUAGUGUUGGGUCGUUGUAAGCACUCCUCAAAUUUGCACAUGUCUCACAAAUUUGGGGUUAAAGAUAAGUUCCGAGUGAAUUUUUUAAUCAUAGUAAAGUUUUAAUCUUGGGUCAAAAAUAGAUUUUUUAAAUCAAGAUGUACAUUUCACGUAGCGGUUUACUCUCACAAAUAUUUUGAUUUGCAAGCUCUUGAAGUUAUUGAGACAGAACGUUUUGAUAAUCAAGUAUUUUGCAGGGUAGUUGCGAUGCAAAUUGAGGGUGAUGACAAACUAGAAUUUUUUUCCAACCUCUACAGGUAUUACCCAUUGUUUGUCUCAACUUUUACAAGCUUAUGAUUAUACAAAUCAUGAAUUAGAAGUCGGAGGGUGCAAUGUUAAUUAUGAUUUGCAAUGUAGGAUUAUUGUUUAAGUUGUGAUUGUAUAUUACAAAGACAUUAAGAUCUGUUAUAUGCUCUCACGAACUAUGUUUUACAAACUAAAAUUUGUCUUUCCAACAUCUGCAGAGAUUCUCAAGUUGCAACUUACUUUUAUCCAUGGACUGAUUGUCUCAAGUUUUACAAGCUUAUAAUUGUACAAAGCAUGAAACUAAGAAGUUGGAGGGCGCAACUGCAUAAACAUUUGAUACUACAGAAGCUCUACAAGUUUUCAUAUUCAUAGCACUUGUAAUUCUUGAAAUAGGGAGGAGAGUCACCUCUAAUAUUGUUGUCUGUAGAAAUUAGUAGUUUAUUUAUGAAUUUUGUAAGUAUUGGAGGUUAGGCCUAAAGUCCCCCUCGUCUUGUAGUCAUCUUAAACAUUUUAAGAAAUAUAGAACAGAUUCUUUCAGUUGCCAAAAAUGUUUCUAUCCAUAAUCAAAAAAUGAGUUGUUGCAACUUAUGAUUUCUGCAGUACUAUCUAUUAACAAUGACAA
rnacentral:lncRNA from 1 species